GGCAUGAUUCACUACCUUGGCAGGUACCUCCCAAACCUGUCAGAAGUCAACAAGCCACUAACAGACUUGUUAAAGAAAGAGGUAAUGUGGGGUUGGGGUGCUGCACAACAGGAGGCCUUUAAGAGGGUGAAACAGUUAGUCACUGAGGCUCCUGAUUUAGCAUUAUUUGAUUUAAAGAAAGACACAGUAGUCAGUGCUGAUGCGAGCAGUUAUGGGCUGGGUGGGGUCCUACUGCAGUUACAUGAUGAACAAUUGAUGCCAGUAGCUUACUGCUCCAGGACAAUGACUGAUGCUGAAAAGCGCUAUGCGCAGAUUGAAAAAGAAUGUCUUGCUGCAGUCUGGGCAUGUGAAAAAUUCUCUAGGUACUUGUAUGACCUGGACACAUUCACUUUACAGAGUGACCACAAACCACUCAUUCCACUCAUUAACAGUAAAGAUCUAGACUCAGUACCAAUGAGAUGUCAGAGACUGCUGCUGCGCAUGAUGCGCUAUAACCCAAAAGCUGAGUUUGUUCCAGGGAAGCAGUUGGUCAUUGCAGACACCCUGUCUAGACAUCCUCAGCCAGAACUGACGCAGGACUUCGCAGAGUUGACCAGUGACCUGGAGGCGUACGAGGAGGCUGUUCGUGAGGCAUGGCCUAUCUCUCCCAGCAAGCUUGACAUGGUCAAACAGCACACUCUACAGGAUGAUGAGCUACAGUUGGUGCAACGCUUCGUACUGGGUCGGUGGACACAGUAUUCAGCCAACGUGCCACUGAAGCAGCGUGGUGACCCUGCUUCAACCACAUCUCUGCAAAUCUGCGGGCCGGGAAGGCUGGAUAGCUCUCCCAGAGAGCUGUCACUGACGUGCAGGCUGAGGACAGCCAGCGCACAUCAAACACUCUCCCAAUCCUACGAGCCUGGAUGCCCAAAUCAAAAGCCGCAGACUCAAGCUCUUUCAAAUAUGAAGAUAUGCUGCUCUGUAUUCUUUUCAUUUUUCGUCCAUUUGGUUUAAACUUUUGUUUCGGCGGGGACAGGAAGUUGACUUUUGAAACCAUAGAAACGCAAGUAAAUCCGGUUGGUUUUCAAAAUAAAACUGCUUUCUGCGAG